UACAGAGGGGGCAAGCGUUGUUCGGAAUUACUGGGCGUAAAGGGCGCGUAGGCGGCCCGCUAAGUCGAACGUGAAAUCCCUGGGCUCAACCCAGGAACUGCGUCCGAUACUGGCAGGCUUGAAUCCGGGAGAGGGAUGUGGAAUUCCAGGUGUAGCGGUGAAAUGCGUAGAUAUCUGGAGGAACACCGGUGGCGAAGGCGGCAUCCUGGACCGGCAUUGACGCUGAGGCGCGAAAGCUAGGGGAGCAAACGGG
rnacentral:rRNA from 1 species